GCCCCCUAGCGGCCGCCUGGGUGCUGGCAGCGGCGCCACAGCGUCCGUGCGAUCCAGGCCCGACUCCUCCUCCCGGGGCUAAGCACCGUGUGAACGCUCGUGGCAGGCGGUCGCCUGAGGCCCGGCGUAAGAAGAGGGAGUGAAGACACGGGGGCAGAGGGCUGAGCUUAUCCAGCAGCGCGAAGUUUGCCUGAAAAGGGGCAUCAGCCCCAGCCCACCCUGAGAUCCACUGACCCAUGCGCUUCAGAGCCUGGGCGCCCAACACGCCGCCCGUACGUCCCUCGUGAAAAGCUCCCCGGGGGGGUAGACAGCAAAUCCAGCAAGGCGUGUAGGUUGCCCCUCGUAUAUUCCCUACCUUACGAAAACAGCAACACUCUUCCAAGAUCUCGCUUUCAUAGCUUGGUAUCACUUUGAAGAAGCCUGUUAUAAGACGAGGCUCCUGUGGUUCAUCAAGGAGUAUCAGAUGUGAAACAGCAUGAAGGGAUUUAAGAAGCCAACUCAAAUCGUUCCUCCUACACAAGCAUUCAGGGCCUUGAGCAGUCCAGGCAAACGACGCACGGUAGACGUCCCUCAACCACCUGAUGGCAUCCAACACCAUGAGUUGCUGCAUCAGUCGAGCGAAGGGUUGACCAAUUCUGCAUUCCCGCCACACUUGCUCGUUACUGGGGUCCCAAGCACCCAGGGCUCCGAUGAUCGGUUUGAGCCUGAACCCAGUAACCCUUAGCUGGAAAGUCAGUCCCAGUUGUGCCCUACUGCAACGGAUCCUGAUUCCUGCCCUGUAUCAGCUGAGCCGGAGUCCCAGCUAGAAACCAGGCCAAGACUGACAAGGCAGAUUCCCUGGAUGGAAAAUGGGCAUCAGCUGCAACCACCAGACUGCCAAGGCUACGACUUCUAUCUAUGGCUGACUGACUGGACAACCUGAGGGGGUGAAAAAGGAAGACCUGGGACAAGAUGUUUGCAGAACUCAUGGUAGAGUCUCACACAGGCCAGCUGAGAAGUGGAGGUUGUACACGAGCAUCCAGAGGGAGGAAGAAAUGCAGCUGUCUCAGGAGGUCGUGGCUGUGACCAAGAACAGCAUCACCAUGGCCACGGAGAGCAUGGAAAAAAGACGGGGAGAUACAGAGGCUGCUCCUGGACACUGUGCUGCAUGUGAAUGCUCUCCUUCACAACAUGCUCUUGCUCAGCCAACAGGCUCUGCAGCACCAUAAUCUGUGACUGAGCCAUGUCCUUCAGCCCCUGGACAAUAUCGGGUACUGGGACCAGUCGCAGUUCUUCCCCACCAUACUCCUGCAGUGGUGCUCCUUGGGAGCGUUCCCUUUUCAAAAUGAGCACUGAGACCUCUGGUGCUGGGAGCCCAGCUCUUUUGAGACCCGCAACACCCCUGACAGUUUUGAGCUGCAGCACUCAACUCCAGAACCCAUGCGGACAAGAAGAGCCAGAGGGAAAUCACACAUGUGCCUUCCCUGUAACUCUGAGCACCCCCCUGUGGAAUCUUCACAAGGAUACCCGCAGUUGAGAGGCACCAAUACCACCUACCCUUAGCGUGAGGAAACUUGGUGUAUUCCUGUUGUAGGUCAGCUCCCCACUGCAUCAGCACCUGGCAACACAAGCACUGCCUUCCUACUCCACAGGCCCUGAUCGCUAUACAGGUUAGUGAUAGGCAUACUCUACACCCGAGUCCUCCAAGCAUCCCCCUGGAGCACCCAGCCCCAAAUCUACUGGACACUCACAGAAUUCCCAGAUCCAAAGGACAGCACACCCCAGCUUACCAAUACACCUUAAGUCACAGCUCUGGAUAACACCCAGCACGUCAAUAGGUUUAUAGUAAAACCAAGAAGUUUAUUAAAUAAAGAACAGAGAUUUGAGAAGAAACAAGUAGAAUUACUAGAAACAAAUGGUUACAUAUAGAAUAAAAUCACAAUGGGCUUUCUAGAGCCUAGACUUAACUAACAAAACUUUCCCAUGUUUCAUAAGGGUCAGCUCAUCCAGAGCCAGAUUGGCUAUGAUACUUCAUUCAUAAGACAGGCCAGCUGGCAACUCAGUCCCUCAGCAAGGGAUAACUGGAUGUCACCCUGCACCCCCAGCUAUAGUUCCAACGAUACAUUGUCUUCACCUGCAAACAGGGUAACCCAAGGAGAGACUUUGCAACCACUUGAUUAGCAUGUUGCUCAGACUGUAAAUAGGUAGUCACUGUGAAGUGUACAAUACUUCCUCUACAUAUAGCCAGACAGGUAGAUAAGCAUCUCCUGCCUGAACGAAAUCUUUGAAGCCCCCAACUCACGGACACUAAGAACAUAAUUUUCAGUAUAUGUACAUAACUCCUUACAUAUUAUCCAUGCAGACAUUUCACAAUUAUUAUGAUGACCAUUGUGACACAGGCUUUCAUAGAAACCUUAUAUGACACUCUUUGGCAAACUAGUAUGUAUAUACCAGACUGUGUGAUCCUUGUAACCCUUAUCUAGCCCUAGUGCCUUCUGUCUGUUGGAUCAGGAUCACACCUCCCUCAACCCAAAAUUAUUCUAUUUGCAGUGUUCUUACUGUUCAACUUUCAGUUUUGUUUUGCAUUGGUGCUUCAAUGAAAGUUGUUGUCUAUAGUUGUUUGCUUAGCACAUUGUUUAGCUAAAUGUAUUUGCACAUAUGAAACUAUUAUUAUUUUUCCAUUGGUUCUAUCAAAAACUUUACUUUUAGUUUUUUAUUGUUCUUCCAUAAUCAGAACAGUUUAUAAAGCAUCAGUUAUGAGUGAUCAGUGCAUUUAUCUCAGCCAUUCCUUUAAAUAAAGCUGAAAACGUUCAUAGGGUUCACAAAAGUACAGAGGGAAUGUUCCAUUUCCUACCCAGUACCCCAGUGCUCACCCUGUAUCUUUCCCAACUCCCUUUCCAUGGGCUAACAGCGGCACAUAUUCAGGCCUAAGACUCAAAAUAUGAACAAUGGGGCCCUCUGAGCACAUUCCCCUGUUUUCUGUGGGACUCCUCCUGGCUGCUCGAAGCACCAAGCAAGCCUCUGCCGCCCACUUAUCAUUAAGGCUUUCUCCCCUGCUCUCACAAACAUUGUGCAGAACACAACAUGUAGUUAUAACAGUCAGAAUGUUUGUUUCUGCUGCUUCCAACCUAUUCCCUAAACAGCCGUCUGCCUUUCAAACAGCCAAAUGCAACCAGCAUUCUGCAACUACUCAGACAGAGGCGAUACAUGGGGGGAGGCAUGCAGGGUCACACCCUCACCCCCAGAUUGCUCGGUCACAUGAAGUGGCUGGGCCCCCUCCCUUCGGAGCAGCUGAGCCACGAGCUGCGCCAGGCAGGGAGAGGCAGAAGCAGAGGAGCAGCUGGGAGCUGCACAGAGAGGCUGCUGCUUUCUGGGAGUGGGGAUUGCUGGACGGAGGGCAUGGCUCGAGCUGUUCCAGGGUGGUGCUCCUGCACUGUCACCAGGCACAGGUCGUCAGUGCCCUCAGGCAACAGUUUAAAUGUUCCUUCCUUCUGUCCAAGUGGGGCGUGUAUGGCUUUGUUAGCCAGGGCAUCAGAGGAUAAGCCAGGACUCCCAGAAUAACCAGACCGACGUCCACACCAUUAAUGUCAACGGUGGUCCUGAAGGAAACGGUUCUUUGUCCAUUAUUCUAAAAAGAACUGAGUUCCGAAAGAUCCUAGCAUUGUAGACCCCUCCAGACCACUCUGCAUUUAUGUCUGUUAAUCUGCCACAGUGGCCGACCAGUCAUUGGAGCACCCGGGAGAAAUACCCCUUUCUGUUUAUGAGUUCUGCACCCUGGGUGGGGAUGUGAGAAUGAUAGGCACAUGGGGUCCAUCAAUAGCCCCCAAGCGGUUUGGGAACCUCUGGCAUGCAAAUCUAUCAAUAAUCUCCUGAGCACUAUGCAGUUUUACGACUCAGUUGGACAGCACCUUAUCAGUGGCAUAGCAGACCUGCAUGAGAGUGGGCCCCCAAUAGUUGAUCGCCCCACAACAAAUUGGUUAGUUAUGGACCAGUAGCAUUCUGUGGUGACCAGCUUCCAGAUGGCAAUGGUGACCCCGUUACUCCGUCGGUAAGGGGCACUGCAUGUUGAUACACUGUCGCUGCAGCUCCAGCAUCAGUUCUGCACAGAUCUCAAAAAACGUAACCCUCCCCAUCCUAAAGUUCUCUUGCCACUGCUGGUCGUCCUAUGUCUGCACAACAAUCCUCUCCCACCACUGGUUUCCUGGGUCCAGAAUCGGUGCUGAAUGCUGUGCAAGUGAUCCUGGAACUGGGCCUCUUGUUCCAACAGCUCAGCAUCAUCCUCUUCCUUCUGGCUGCCAUCGCUUCCGAGUAUUCUCCUGCCAUUGCAGGAGCUGCAGCUGCUGGCAUAGGACAUUUUCCUGCUUCUGCACAAUCCACGUCAUCUGCUCAGUGAUGUGCCGGAUGAAGACCAGUGUCAAAUUCGUCCAGCUUUGACUACUGUAAUAUAGCCCAAGCAGCUGGUGCUUAUUCACACUCCUCACCAUAGCGCUGCGGAGCAGUUGGGUCCAUGAUGGCCAACAGCAAUUCAAAAAUGGCACAAGGUCACCCCAAAGGGAAACAUAUGGGACAGAGAUGGUGGAAAUGUUGGAUUAUAUUAAAGAAGUUCUGUAUUAAAAUCACAAAUGAGUUUGAUUCCCCAUAGUUUAAAUUCCAGGGUAUUACUAUUAAGAGGUCUCUUGGUUUUUGGUACUGUUUCUCUCCCUCUCU